rnacentral:rRNA from 1 species
GACGAACCGAGCGAACGUUGUUCGGAAUCACUGGGCUUAAAGGGCGCGUAGGCGGUCAGCACAAGUCAGUUGUGAAAUCUCCGGGCUUAACUCGGAAAGGUCAACUGAUACUGUGCGACUAGAGUGCAGAAGGGGCAACUGGAAUUCUCGGUGUAGCGGUGAAAUGCGUAGAUAUCGAGAGGAACACCUGCGGCGAAGGCGGGUUGCUGGGCUGACACUGACGCUGAGGCGCGAAAGCCAGGGGAGCGAACGGG